ACGAAGUCUCUACUCUUUGCAAAAAUGUAUUACUUGUCUUGACAGACCUCAUCCAAUAACACUGCGUGUUGCCAAAGAUGAACAACUAUUACGAGUGGUUUACUUAUCCCUAGAGUAGAUAUUUUUUUUAACUCGGCAUACAUUAACGUAUACUUGUUAUGCGUGGUACAAAUUGUACGAGUUAGCCGGGCAUCCACCGGAUGGCAAUGCCUUCGGGUAAAAAAGAUGAAGUUCCUUUUUGGUGCUACAGGGGUGCCACUCUCACCGAAGUGUGUAUUUAAGGAAGCGUGAUUUUAUAGUAUAAAUUUUAUAGUAUAAUAGAUCGUCCAAUAUAAUAUGAACUGCAGAAACUGAUUUUAGUGAUUCUCAUACUUCCAAUCUUAAGAGUUAAUAGCUGAAAAUAAAUGGAACAUUAAUGUGAAGGAUAUCCGUAGUUUUAAGAAGACAAUCGGGAACUUUCCUGACAAGCAAUCAGUUCUUUCAUAUGCGUCCUGCUAACCUACUUGGAUCAAGCUUCUGGCUCAACACUGAACUUCCCUAUACGACGGUACUCGAGCACUGAAACCGUAUGAUAAUUAUAUCAGCAAUAAUUAAGUGCUAGCCGCGAACGACUAACUAACGACGGUGUGCACGUAACACAAAAGAAAUAGUCAAACGAGAAACCCCAUGAAGUAGGCCUUUAGUGAAGAUAGCAUUACGUUAUUCUCGAGACUUAUUUCAACUAUUCUGCUCAACUGUACGCCGGUCCCGUGCAUCGAAGGUUGCUAUGUGGUCGGAUGCGGAACUAUUCACUGAGGCAAGCCGUGACACUAUAGCCGUGCGAGGUUCUCCUGAAUAAUUCAAUGACAUCGUACAAGAGGAACCAUGACCGAAGGCCUAAAGCAAACGUAACGUUGAAAGUUUUUCCCUCUUCGAAUAUUACGCCUGUCUGCGAUCCCGACUAUAACAUAACCUGCCGACGAUCAUUGAGUCACAGUGAAUCUGGCCGGUUUCUAUGCACCCGAUUCUACUGAACCAGUUUCCCAAAAUCCUAAAAAUAAUUAUAUAAUUGCGUUGCAGAAAACACAGAUUCAUCUUGCUUAGUAUUAAGCGUUUAUUCCUAACUAAUGAAGAGUCCGCUAAAGGAGCCCGCUAAAGCCUGGUGUCUAACGUCACGUACAAACGGUUAUCUCUCGUUGUGACGAAAUGGCCACCUUUGCACAUGUAAAAGAUCUACUUGGUUAUUUACGUCGAAAAGACAGAAUACAACUGCAUCGUAUUGGCGGUUGUUAGAAAUCAAAUAUUGUUUAUUUGAUUUGAGACAUUUUGACAUGGAUAGGAGAAUGGCUAAAACGUGGGUGGAUACCGCCAGAGUUGAUCAGUCUAGCCUAAACCAUUUUGAGCUUGGACGGAAAUUUAAAUCUAAAAAUUUCACCCAUCCUUUUCAUGAAAAUUUCUUCGUUAAUUCGAACUGGAUUCGCCACCGCAAGACUUCGGUAGACGUUCAUGUAAGCUACCUGAAUCAAACGUCCGCAUGGAAGCGGGCCUGGAUAAGUUUGAAAAUACCUGUAGGAAAUAAGUUGUACAUGUUCCGUCAUUUCUGCGAGUCCGCUGAGUCUACACUAUGAUCUCCAAAUACAUAAUAAGGGGCAUUUUGUACCAAAAACGUUUAUCGUCUAAGUAGCGCUGGCGAUGUUGUCUGGCAGAAA
rnacentral:lncRNA from 1 species